rnacentral:lncRNA from 1 species
AAGCACCCAACAAAUCCAUCCAGAAAUUCACAAAAUAAUCUCAAACAAACAAAUCAAACCCUAAAAUAGGAAAAACAAACAAAAGCAUCUCUGUUUUCAGCUCCACCACCUCUUCUUACCCACGUCCAGCUCCACCACUUCCUACUAGUCCACCUUCAGCUCUACCACCAACCCCAACGCCUCUUUCUAGUCCACCACCACCACCAAAGUCACUCUACCUCCAUGAUCAAAGCAUCCACUGCACAAGAAAAGAAGAAGAAACGAAAGCCAUUUUUGAGAGACCCAUCACUGCUUCAUUUAGUUUUUUGUAUAGGAUUCAUCCGCUUGCUUACU